rnacentral:rRNA from 1 species
GACGAACGCUGGCGGCGUGCUUAACACAUGCAAGUCGUACGGUAAGGCCCUUUCGGGGGUACACGAGUGGCGAACGGGUGAGUAACACGUGAGUAACCUGCCCACAACUUUGGGAUAACGCUAGGAAACUGGUGCUAAUACUGGAUAUGUGCUCCUGCUGCAUGGUGGGGGUUGGAAAGCUCCGGCGGUUGUGGAUGGACUCGCGGCCUAUCAGCUUGUUGGUGGGGUAGUGGCCUACCAAGGCGGCGACGGGUAGCCGGCCUGAGAGGGUGACCGGCCACAUGGGGAUGGGGAAACGGCCAGACUCCUACGGGAGGCAGCAGUGGGGAAUAUUGCACAAUGGGCGCAAGCCUGAUGCAGCAACGCCGCGUGCGGGAUGACGGCCUUCGGGUUGUAAACCGCUUUCAGCAGGGACGAAGCUUUUUGUGACGGUACCUGCAGAAGAAGCACCGGCUAACUACGUG